rnacentral:rRNA from 1 species
CCUUACACAUGCAAGUCGAACGGUAACAGGUCUUCGGAUGCUGACGAGUGGCGAACGGGUGAGUAAUACAUCGGAACGUGCCCGAUCGUGGGGGAUAACGGAGCGAAAGCUUUGCUAAUACCGCAUACGAUCUACGGAUGAAAGCGGGGGACCCUCGGGCCUCGCGCGGACGGAGCGGCCGAUGGCAGAUUAGGUAGUUGGUGGGAUAAAAGCCUACCAAGCCGACGAUCUGUAGCUGGUCUGAGAGGAUGAUCCGCCACACUGGGACUGAGACACGGCCCAGACUCCUACGGGAGGCAGCAGUGGGGAAUUUUGGACAAUGGGCGCAAGCCUGAUCCAGCCAUGCCGCGUGAGUGAAGAAGGCCUUCGGGUUGUAAAGCUCUUUCGGCCGGGAAGAAAUCGUGUUCUCUAACAUAGGACAUGGAUGACGGUACCGGACUAAGAAGCACCGGCUAACUACGUGCCAGCAGCCGCGGUAAUACGUAGGGUGCGAGCGUUAAUCGGAAUUACUGGGCGUAAAGCGUGCGCAGGCGGUUUUGUAAGACAGAUGUGAAAUCCCCGGGCUUAACCUGGGAACUGCGUUUGUGACUGCAAGGCUGGAGUACGGCAGAGGGGGGUGGAAUUCCACGUGUAGCAGUGAAAUGCGUAGAGAUGUGGAGGAACACCGAUGGCGAAGGCAGCCCCCUGGGCCUGUACUACG